UACGUAGGGUGCAAGCGUUGUCCGGAAUUAUUGGGCAUAAAGAGCUCGUAGGCGGUUUGUCGCGUCGAAUGUGAAAACCCGGGGCUCAACCCCGGGCCUGCAUUCGAUACGGGCAGACUAGAGUUCGGUAGGGGAGUCUGGAAUUCCUGGUGUAGCGGUGAAAUGCGCAGAUAUCAGGAGGAACACCGGUGGCGAAGGCGGGACUCUGGGCCGAUACUGACGCUGAGGAGCGAAAGCGUGGGGAGCGAACAGG
rnacentral:rRNA from 1 species